GGCGACCGGCGCACGGGUGCGUACACGUUAGACACUACCUUUAACUGGGGAAUAGCCCUCCGAAAGGAAGAUUAAUACCCCAUAAUAUGUUGGAUGGGAUCAUUCGACAUUGAAAACUCCGGUGGAUAGAGAUGGGCACGCGCAAGAUUAGCUAAGUUGGCGGGGUAACGGGCCCAACAAGGGGACGAUCCGGGAAGGGGGUCCUUGAAAAGGAUUGGAAUCCCCCCAAACUGGUACUGAGACACGGACCAGACUCCUACGGGAGGCAGCAGUCAAGGAAUAUUGGACAAUGGUCGCAAGACUGGUCCAGCCAUGCCGGUGCAGGAUGAACGAUCUAUGAUCUGUAAACUGCUUUUGUCCGGGAAUAAACCCCUUCACGUCGUGGAGGGCUGAAUGUACCGAAAGAAUCACGGGUCCGGCUUCAACUCUCGUGCCNGCAAGCCGGCGGUUNNAAGACCGGAAAAGACCAAGCGUCCAAUCCCCGGAAUCUCAUCCGGGGUUCCACACGGGGCUCGCCNNACGGCCGGGCGCUUCCGGCACAACGUCCCCGCUGGNGGNUGCAACACGCCCCUAACGAANGCCCNCAACCCCCCUCCCAGG
rnacentral:rRNA from 1 species